rnacentral:piRNA from 1 species
UAGGACAUAGGAGUGACCUUGGGAAG